rnacentral:rRNA from 1 species
AACCCUGAUGCAGCCAUGCCGCGUGUGUGAAGAAGGCCUUCGGGUUGUAAAGCACUUUCAGACGUGAGGAAGGGUUGAUGGUUAAUACCCGUCAACAUUGACGUUAGCGUCAGAAGAAGCACCGGCUAACUCCGUGCCAGCAGCCGCGGUAAUACGGAGGGUGCGAGCGUUAAUCGGAAUUACUGGGCGUAAAGCGCACGCAGGCGGUUUGUUAAGCUAGAAGUGAAAGCCCCGGGCUCAACCUGGGAAGGCCUUUUAGAACUGGCAAGCUAGAGUCUUGGAGAGGGGAGUGGAAUUCCAGGUGUAGCGGUGAAAUGCGUAGAUAUNCUGGAGGAACAUCAGUGGCGAAGGCGGCUCCCUGGCCAAAGACUGACGCUCAUGUGCGAAAGUGUGGGUAGCGAACAGGAUUAGAUACCCUGGUAGUCCACACCGUAAACGCUGUCUACCAGCUGUGUGUGAAUUUAAUUUGUGCGUAGCGAAGCAAACGCGCUAAGUAGACCGCCUGGGGAGUACGGCCGCAAGNGNNUUNANAAACUCANAAUGAAUUGACGGGGGCCCGCACAAGCGGUGGAGCAUGUGGUUUAAUUCGAUGCAACGCGAAGAACCUUACCUACUCUUGACAUCCAGAGAACUUUGCAGAGAUGCGAAGGUGCCUUCGGGAAUUCUGAGACAGGUGCUGCAUGGCUGUCGUCAGCUCGUGCCGUGAGAUGUUGGGUUAAGUCCCGCAACGAGCGCAACCCUUGUCCUUAGUUGCCAGCAUUAAGUUGGGCACUUUAAGGAGACUGCCGGUGACAAAGCGGAGGAAGGUGGGGACGACGUCAAGUCAUCAUGGCCCUUACGAGUAGGGCUACACACGUGCUACAAUGGUAAGUACAGAGGGAAGCGAAGCAGCGAUGUGGAGCGGACCCCUUAAAGCUUAUCGUAGUCCGGAUUGGAGUCUGCAACUCGACUCCAUGAAGUCGGAAUCGCUAGUAAUCGCAUGUCAGCAUACUGCGGUGAAUACGUUCCCGGGCCUUGUACACACCGCCCGUCACACCAUGGGAGUGGGAUGCAAAA